AGCACUUUUGCGGAUUUCUUCGGAUUGAAGCAAUUGUGACUGAGCGGCGGACGGGUGAGUAACGCGUGGGUAACCUGCCUCAUACAGGGGGAUGACAGUUGGAAACGGCUGCUAAUACCGCAUAAGCGCACAGUACCGCAUGGUACCGUGUGAAAAACUCCGGUGGUAUGAGAUGGACCCGCGUCUGAUUAGCUAGUUGGUGGGGUAACGGCCUACCAAGGCGACGAUCAGUAGCCGACCUGAGAGGGUGACCGGCCACAUUGGGACUGAGACACGGCCCAAACUCCUACGGGAGGCAGCAGUGGGGAAUAUUGCACAAUGGGGGAAACCCUGAUGCAGCGACGCCGCGUGAGCGAUGAAGUAUUUCGGUAUGUAAAGCUCUAUCAGCAGGGAAGAAAAUGACGGUACCUGACUAAGAAGCCCCGGCUAACUACGUGCCAGCAGCCGCGGUAAUACGUAGGGGGCAAGCGUUAUCCGGAUUUACUGGGUGUAAAGGGAGCGUAGACGGCAUGGCAAGCCAGAUGUGAAAGCCCGGGGCUCAACCCCGGGACUGCAUUUGGAACUGUCAGGCUAGAGUGUCGGAGAGGAAAGCGGAAUUCCUAGUGUAGCGGUGAAAUGCGUAGAUAUUAGGAGGAA
rnacentral:rRNA from 1 species